rnacentral:lncRNA from 1 species
GGAUUGGAAGCCAGUGGAUUCAACUUACCCAGGUUCCAAAAGGUGUCUACUGAUUCACGGGAAAGUCUUGACCACUGCCAGGAUGAUACAGUUCUUUGUAGAUCCCACUAUGGCUGAGAUUGACUGAGAAAUCCACAAUGUUGAAAACGAGAACACUAAGCUCCUUCUCUGAGACACUGACUCUGGCCAGUCCAACUUACUCAGAGAUAAGAUGAGACCAAAACACGUAAUGAAUGAACAAGAAAUGAUCCUUUGGAAUUUUAGUUAUUUGAGCAGCUUAGUUUAGAGAAUUCCUUCUUCCUUUUCAGACAAGCAGUUCACACGCCCUAAGUGGAAAACCUGGAACCAGAGUGAAGACUAGAUAAGGCAGCUUUUCUCCUGAGGGAGGGAGGAGGGGGCAUGAUGAGGCCAUGUAGUUGACAUUGGUAUUGUGUAGCUGAGCUGGCACAGAAUACAGCAGAGUAUCCCCCUGACUAUUCCUAUUUCAAAGAUAUAUAAUACUUUCACCACCUCCUUUUCACUAUUUUUUAUAUCUGGAUGGGACAUAUUAAGUGGCCUCACAGUGUAAUGAGUUUCAAUGUCCUCCUG